rnacentral:lncRNA from 1 species
UGUCGCGAUGGGUCAAGAUUUGAAUCCGAACUCCCUCUUAUUAAGUAGAGUUAUAGCAUAUUUGUAUAAUUAUAGUAUAAAAUAUUCAACGAGCGUGGAUUUGAAUCUUGACCUAUCUCAUCCAUCAUUUUUUGUGUUUAGUGAAAGUGUUACAAAAUGAAUGGAUUUGGUAAUGUUUCUUAUUUAGGGAAUUUUGAAUUGUAUAUAGGUUGUGAAAGAUGGAUAUCAAUGGAGAAAAUAUGGGCAAAAAGUGACUAGGGAUAAUCCCUCUCCAAGAGCUUACUAUAAGUGCUCCUUAUCCCCAUCUUGCCCUGUGAAGAAGAAGGUGAGAGAAAAUUAAUAAUCUCUCAAUAUUGGAAAAAAUGAAUUUUCAAACCCUUAAAUUAUGUGAGUUCGAAAAUAAUUAGCCUUUAAUUUGAAUCUCGGCGGCGAUGAUGUUGAUAGGUGCAAAGAAGCGCCGGCGAUCCAUCUCUUUUAGUUGCGAUUUACGAAGGGCAGCACAACCACCACCCCUCCGGUGCUGAAAUACCGGCGGCGACGGCGGCGGCGGCGGCGGAGGCCCCUGCAGCGGCAGCAAACAGUACUUAUCUGAGUGAUCCGACAAUAUGUAGUCGAAUUGAAAAUGAGGAGAGUGAAAUUCAGCAGGUUUUGGUUGAGCAGAUGGCGUCUUCGUUGACGAGAAAUCACAGCUUCACGGCGGCACUGGUGGCCGCCAUAACCGGCAGAAUAUUGGACGACGGAUCCGAGGAAAACGAUGACAGUUACUCCAUCUCAAGAGUGAUUUCUGAGUAGAAAUUAUCAAUUUGAUCAGUAAUUUUUUUUUUUUUUUUUGUUUUUUUGGGGGGGCUAACGUUGUCGAUUAUGGUUGUAGAUCUAACUAAGGAUUCAUUUUCAGUGCUUGUAAUAAAAUAAAAAUGAUUUUUUUUUUUUCCUCACAUCAGCAGUCUUAAGAAAAAUAACCAUAGCUCUCGAAGUCUAGCUACUUUGAUCAGUAGCUACUUUAUAGUUUUAUCUAAGGAGGAACACGUGCUUAAGCAUUUAUACUUUUUAUUUAUUUUUAUUGACUUACACCAUUUUUUUUUUUUUUGCAUUUGGCAACUUUGUAUUUUUCUUAUUUUUUCUAAUUUUCGCCCCAUGUAAUUUGAUUCCCUUUUGUUUUUCACCCUAUACUUUUUGUUUUCUUUGGGAGAGGAAAGGUCAANAUAUAUAUGCAGCAUGAUGAGCUGAUUCAGGAGCUGAGCAGGAUGAAAUGGGAGAACAAGAAGCUCACCGAAAUCCUCGCCGUUGUUUGCAGAAACUACCAUGAUUUCACCAAAAUCGAUUGCGUAGAGGAGCUCUACGCCUCGAAGGAAAAGAAAAAUCCGACCAGCUGCAAAGCUCCGGCCACAUUUCCGCGGCUGCUGCGGCGGCGGGGAAGUGCUCGCCGCCGGGCAGGCCGAGGGAGAUUAAGUCGAAUACCUCGCGAGUCCACGUGCGAAUCGAUCCGUCGGAUACAAGCCUCGUAAGUUUAACGGGCCGGGUCAAGAUUCGUUAAACGAUAUUUGAUUUUUGAAUUUUGAAUAUGUCUCGGUAUACAAUCUGAUACAAGACUCCUCGUGUGACUGACAAAUGUCGCGAUGGGUCAAGAUUUGAAUCCGAACUCCCUCUUAUUAAGUAGAGUUAUAGCAUAUUUGUAUAAUUAUAGUAUAAAAUAUUCAACGAGCGUGGAUUUGAAUCUUGACCUAUCUCAUCCAUCAUUUUUUGUGUUUAGUGAAAGUGUUACAAAAUGAAUGGAUUUGGUAAUGUUUCUUAUUUAGGGAAUUUUGAAUUGUAUAUAGGUUGUGAAAGAUGGAUAUCAAUGGAGAAAAUAUGGGCAAAAAGUGACUAGGGA